GGUCGAUGAUGACUAGUAAAAGGGCUGACUACCCAGGCCCCUCUCUGCAGCCCCUCCAUCCCCGGCCGCCUCGCUCCCAUCAGGCUCCAGUCGUGCUCUGCUGGGCAGAGGCAGCUGACACUCAGCGAUGCCCCAGGUCCGUGCUCCUUGGCGAGCCCAGGAGGACACGUGGUUGGCAUCCCACAGCCAGUCUCGAAGGGAUGCGACUGCUGGGGGUGCGCUCUGGUUCUGAUCCGACGUUCAAGCUGAGACC